UGGAAGCAUAGUCACGUAAUUCCAAACAGGGAAGAUGGUGUCGAUGGAGCUGGUACUUUGCAAAUAAAAGCGUUCUUUGUCCUCUGCUCUGUAUAGCACACCUGCCUGUGAGUACCGUCAUUCCAGGUUUACUUUAGGCAGAAUCGAGACCCGGGAAAGUUAAGUCACCUGGCCCAGAGACACCCAGCGAGCCGAUAACAGACUCAGAAUGCUAGUUCCAUAUCUCUGCCUCCAACUUCCAGGUCUUACCUCUAACAUUUUACUCCCUCUGUAGCUUACUUUCAAGGGACGGCCAUGAAGCUUGCUUUCCUGGAAUACGAGUCUCAUGAGAACAGAGACGGUGUCUUGGCCACCAUUAUUUGCUGGAUGGACAGACGGAUGGACGGAUGGAUGGUUGACAGCCUCCCAGAAAUCUUGGAAAGGGCAUGCGCUUCUCCAUGAGACCAGCAGAUGGCGGCAAAGGAACGGCCAAGCAAAGGCGCGGGAGGAAGUUGGGGGAAGCAGCUUUUACGGAUAGAGCCUCCCUUCCCGGAGCUCUGCAAAACAGGGACGGAGCCGAAGCUGCUCGAUCCAAGACGCAAAGGCAGCCUGACUUCAUCUCAGCUGCCCGGCAGGAAGCGCUUUGCGGCUUGGGGCAGAGAAGAGGGGUGGCCAGUCCCUACUCCAGCAAUGUGUCGUUUCACCCCUGCCCGGCCUGCAGCCCACCCGGCCUUGGCUCUCCAGGGCGCGUGAGACACACGAAAACCCGGAACACGCCCAUAGAUUUCUCUGCAGCUGGGGACACGUGCACCAUAGGUACGUACAUACGCCUCCACCUGAAUUAGGAAGAGGGAUUGAAGUGGGUUCUGGCGUCCCCUUCGACUGGAAUUCCAGCUCCAGUGUCCCAGGUGAUCUUGGUUAAGUGACUUAACUGCCGUGUGCCUCAGUUUCCUCCUCUGUUAAACAGGGAUAAAAAUCAUACCCACCUCAUAGGGGUUAAUGGUGAGCUCACUUGGGUGGGGUGCUUAACGGAGCGCCUGGCACGCGCACGUGCCCCUUGCAUGCCAGCUCCUUUUAUUAUCCUUCCGUGUACUUUGAACAGCGACAUCUGCAACAUAUACAUCUUGAUUAUACGCAUCUUGAUUGUAAAACAACCAAAUGCAUCUGCAUCCGGAACUGUCUUGCGCGUGCACCUCGAAAUCUAAAUUGGAAGAGACGUCUGCAGACCGGGCACGAGCAAGUACACGCACACGCGCGCCUCAGAACUCACACACCCAGAGAGCUACCCGCAGGUCCGCACAUCCGAGGCCACGUACAGAAGAGCCCACGUCCCGGCCUGGCACCCACACCCAGCAGCCUCUCUCUUGGCCGGUUGCCGUGAGGUCGAA